CGGGAAAAGCUCAAAUUUAAAAUCUGGUAGUCUUUGGCUGCCCGAGUUGUAAUCUAGAGAAGUGUUAUCCGUAUUGGACCAUGUAAAAGUCUCCUGGAAUGGAGCAUCAUAGAGGGUGAGAAUCCCGUC
rnacentral:rRNA from 1 species